GUUCAACUGUGCAGAUGGUGUUCUGCACCAAGGACAGACAUGUUCACCCAUGUGUGGAUAGUGUUCAGCACCAGGGACAAGUGUGUUUAACU
rnacentral:pre_miRNA from 1 species